AAAAGAUCUAGGGUCUCCAAUGCGACGGUCCCCACUUCACACUCUCAGAUUCUCUCAAAAACCAAUUAAACUCGCCGGAGCGAUUUCCGGCGGCCUAACUCCGCCGUGGACCGCCUCAUCUCGCUUUCUCCUCCUCAAAUCCACUCUUAACCUUAUUUUCCUUCAAUUCUUUUUCUAUCCUUUAACCCUCAACACCAGAGUAAAUCAAAGCCCUAAAAGCUAGCUCGGCUAUCAUAACGCAGAAGGAGGUGAAGAAGAGAGGACUAUCUGAAGACGCACCUGGAUUCGAAGACGCGAUUUGAAUAUUAGAAGUGAAGCUUCGUCUAGCUUGAUGCGAAGAUUUAAGCUUCAAUUCGAGACCGAUACGAAUGCGCCAAAGACGAAUGUUUCAGCGUUGUGAAGUUGAAGGAGAUUCGGAGAUGAUGGAAGUUCGAGGAAGCUUGAGGGUGGUGGAGAAUCGGUGGUGAAUCGGUAGUGGAUCGGUGGUGAUCGGAUUGAAGUGUGGAGAAAGAUUGUGAGAAGUGUGUGGGAGGUGGAUUGUGGAAAAAUGGUUGCGAGAGCUUGAAGAUGAAGAUAGGAGGAGAGUGAUGGAACUUUUUGCCUAGCACAUCUUCGUUCAAGGCUCUCAAGCGGAACUAUGAAGAAGAUGGUGGUUGUGCUUCUUUAGGUGUGUCCUUCUGAAGAUGAGUGGUGUUGCAUUUAUAUAUGGGCAAUGACUGAGAAAUAAUGGUGAAUCCUUGGGUGUGGAGCCUGAAUCAUAGCUUGCAAUGAGCUUUUUUCGAUUUCUCGAGUGUGGGACUUGGAAGGUUUUUUCUUUUGAAUUUGAGCUGCUGUACGCAUCCGCUUUCGACAGUAUCAGACAUUUGUGGAUAUAGUUUUCGGAAUGCUUUUUCUUUGACUGCACUUGCAGGUCUGAUUCUUUCCAACUUGGAGCUGCUUGGUAAGUGUUUUCACAACAAGCUAUAAGAAUUGCUUGACGCCACCUGAUGCGAGUUUGUUUUUUUGGUCUGGUAUAGAUGUAUGGAUUGAUAUGAAGCUAGGACUGGUUUAUUUAUGAUGAUGCAGGGUUGUUAAUGUGAGCUGAUGUUUGAAAUUGUUUUUUUGUAGGUUUCGCGGGGUCGCAUCAAGUCGGUUUUUGGACUGAAGCUUGACUCAAAGUUGCAAUAGGUUCACUGACACGAUAGGGAUGUUGAUUCAUGGAUGAAGGUUGCAGCAUCUUGGCAGGGAUGUAUAUGUAUGGAUAUAAUGGUUUUAUGGUGAUUGAAUGAAGGUUUAUUGUGAGCUGAACUCGUGUUUAUUUGUAUGUUUAAUGGUGGCGUGUGGAACUGACUGUUAUGCAUAUGUUAUGGGUGCAUUCUGUUUUGAACUGAUGCGAUUUGACUCUGCAAGUUUAUAGAAUUGGCAUGAUUCGGAAGCAAAGUGAGCAUGGCUUAUGGAAUUUACGGUUUGGCUUGGUGUUUGUGAUGUGAAGAUAAGGACGAGUUCUGUGUGCGUGUAUUGAUGGCUGCAACCGUUAAUGGUUAGAAAAGAAAUGGAUCAGUAUGUAUGCUGGUUAUUAACAGAUGUUGGAAGCAUGGUUUGGAAUUGUUAUGAAUUUGUGAACUAUACUCAUUGGAUAUGGUUUAGGUGCAGUUAGUAUGAUUGGUAUUGGUGGAACUUUAUAUGGUGUGCUGUAUGGGGCUGAAUGUGUGGAUGUAUGUGUGGAUUAAUGCCUUGACUAAUAUUUUGAUUUUUUGUAUGGUACAGGUUCAAAGUUAACUGAUUUUGGGCAUGAAUGAGGAGCAAGGAUAUGGAGGAGAUUGAGGCUUGGUAGAAACAGGAAGAUGUGAUCAUGAUGAAGUGUAGAAUUGGGAUAGGGUGUUUGAUUUUGGUUGGCUUAGGUUAAAAGUCUGUGUCUUUAUAACUUUUUCCUUCAAUGUAAUAUGUAAUGGACACCCUUGUUAUGACCUCUUUGUUUGUAAUUGAAUGAUCAUUGAUGGAGUUUUGAUGGAAACUUGAACUUGAACCAAUUGUAAUGAACCAAUAGGAAGGCUUCAUAUUCAGAACAA